UCGGCUAACCCUCACGGGUGCAAAAAAGCCCCGCUUUCGAGCGGGGCUUUUUUUUGCCUCGGC
rnacentral:sRNA from 1 species